rnacentral:rRNA from 1 species
UACGUAGGCAGCAAGCGUUGUUCGGAAUUACUGGGCGUAAAGAGUGUGUAGGCGGUGCUCUAAGUCUGCUGUGAAAUCUCCCGGCUUAACCGGGAGGGUGCGGCGGAAACUGGAGUGCUUGAGGGUGGGAGAGGUAAGCGGAAUUCCUGGUGUAGCGGUGAAAUGCGUAGAUAUCAGGAGGAACACCUGUGGUGUAGACAGCUUACUGGACCACUUCUGACGCUGAGACACGAAAGCGUGGGUAGCAAACAGG